UACAGAGGGUGCGAGCGUUAAUCGGAAUUACUGGGCGUAAAGCGUGCGUAGACGGUUUCGUAAGUCGGGUGUGAAAGCCCCGGGCUCAACCUGGGAAUUGCAUUCGAGACUGCGUAGCUAGGGUGCGGAAGAGGGAAGCGGAAUUUCCGGUGUAGCGGUGAAAUGCGUAGAUAUCGGAAGGAACAUCAGUGGCGAAGGCGACUUCCUGGACUGACACUGACGCUGAGGCACGAAAGCGUGGGGAGCAAACAGG
rnacentral:rRNA from 1 species